GGCGGUUCUUGGGUGACACACCCUGGAAUUGGUCUCCCUCCUCUCUGGUUCCAGGUGUGUCGCCCGAGAACCGAG
rfam:Myotis brandtii contig312598, whole genome shotgun sequence.